rnacentral:misc_RNA from 1 species
UGUGGGAGCGGGCUUGCUCGCGAAGGCGGCGGACCUGUCGGCAUCGUAGUUGAUUGACCCACCGCUUUCGCGAGCAAGCCCGCUCCCACA